GAGUUUGAUCAUGGCUCAGGAUGAACGCUGGCGGCGUGCCUAAUACAUGCAAGUCGAACGAACAGAUAAGGAGCUUGCUCCUUUGACGUUAGCGGCGGACGGGUGAGUAACACGUGGGUAACCUACCUAUAAGACUGGAAUAACUCCGGGAAACCGGGGCUAAUGCCGGAUAACAUGUUGAACCGCGUGGUUCUACAGUGAAAGACGGUCUUGCUGUCACUUAUAGAUGGACCCGCGCCGUAUUAGCUAGUUGGUGGGGUAACGGCCUACCAAGGCGACGAUACGUAGCCGACCUGAGAGGGUGAUCGGCCACACUGGAACUGAGACACGGUCCAGACUCCUACGGGAGGCAGCAGUAGGAAUCUUCCGCAAUGGGCGGAAGCCUGACGGAGCAACGCCGCGUGAGUGAUGAAGGUCUUCGGAUCGUAAAGCUCUGUUGUUA
rnacentral:rRNA from 1 species